UGAUUGCAGAUUUUCGUGAUCAUCGAAUCUUUGAACGCACAUUGCGCCCUCUGGUAUUCCAGAGGGCAUGCCUGUUUGAGCGUCAUUUCUCUCUCAAACCCCCGGGUUUGGUAUUGAGUGAUACUCUUAGUCGGACUAGGCGUUUGCUUGAAAAGUAUUGGCAUGGGUAGUACUAGAUAGUGCUGUCGACCUCUCAAUGUAUUAGGUUUAUCCAACUCGUUGAAUGGUGUGGCGGGAUAUUUCUGGUAUUGUUGGCCCGGCCUUACAACAACCAAACAAGUUUGACCUCAAAUCAGGUAGGAAUACCCGCUGAACUUAAGCAUAUCAAUAAGCGG
rnacentral:rRNA from 1 species